rnacentral:rRNA from 1 species
UACGUAGGGUGCGAGCGUUAAUCGGAAUUACUGGGCGUAAAGCGUGCGCAGGCGGUUCGUCGUGUCCGAUGUGAAAGCCCCGGGCUCAACCUGGGAAUGGCAUUGGAAACUGGCGGACUCGAGUGUGGCAGAGGGGGGUGGAAUUCCGCGUGUAGCAGUGAAAUGCGUAGAGAUGUGGAGGAAUACCGAUGGCGAAGGCAGCCCCCUGGGCCAAUACUGACGCUCAUGCACGAAAGCGUGGGGAGCAAACAGG